rnacentral:rRNA from 1 species
GACGAACGCUGGCGGCGUGCUUAACACAUGCAAGUCGAACGGAAAGGCCCUGCUUUUGUGGGGUGCUCGAGUGGCGAACGGGUGAGUAACACGUGAGUAACCUGCCCUUGACUUUGGGAUAACUUCAGGAAACUGGGGCUAAUACCGGAUAGGAGCUCCUGCUGCAUGGUGGGGGUUGGAAAGUUUCGGCGGUUGGGGAUGGACUCGCGGCUUAUCAGCUUGUUGGUGGGGUAGUGGCUUACCAAGGCUUUGACGGGUAGCCGGCCUGAGAGGGCGACCGGCCACAUUGGGACGGAGAUACGGCCCAGACUCCUACGGGAGGCAGCAGUGGGGAAUAUUGCACAAUGGGCGGAAGCCUGAUGCAGCAACGCCGCGUGCGGGAUGACGGCCUUCGGGUUGUAAACCGCUUUCGCCUGUGACGAAGCGUGAGUGACGGUAAUGGGUAAAGAAGCACCGGCUAACUACGUG